CAACAACAACAUUAGGAUCACAACAACAACUUAUAUUCACCAAUCCACAAACCAUUCAUGCGAUGCAUUUCCAUAUAGCUAGCUAUCCUUAGAGAUGAUGCAUACCUCUAAACACUUCUUAGGCGUUGGAUGAUGAUGCACAGUACAACAAUUAUUCUAUUUAAAAGUGCUCCCCACCCGGAAGCUUUAUUUUCAAACUCUAGUUAAUCAUCCAUAAAACUAUUUGAAAAUAUUUUUAAAACUGUUUCCCACUCGGAAACUCUAUUUUGAAAACCGACCACCUCUAGGGGUAAAAAACCACGAUGCAUAAAUACGUAAAUCCAAAACCGAACAUUCAUAAAUCUUCACAAAUACUCAAACAUUCAUAUUGAUCAUCUAACUUAACCAUUUAAUUAUUUAAAUUACUAAAAGCGGAAAUAAAAGUAAUCCGGGUGACG
rnacentral:lncRNA from 1 species